rnacentral:rRNA from 1 species
UACGAAGGGUGCAAGCGUUAUCCGGAUUCAUUGGGUUUAAAGGGUGCGUAGGCGGAACGUUAAGUCAGUGGUGAAAUCCUGCAGCUCAACUGUAGACUUGCCAUUGAUACUGGCGUUCUUGAGUGCGCUUGAAGUAGGCGGAAUGUGCAGUGUAGCGGUGAAAUGCUUAGAUAUUGCACAGAACACCGAUUGCGAAGGCAGCUUACUAAGGCGAUACUGACGCUGAGGCACGAAAGCGUGGGGAUCAAACAGG